CGCCCUGAGCGGACCGUGGGCUGCGCCGACGCCACCUCCGAUCCUGUACGGUUGUGGGCGCCUCGGCGCGCCCCGUGCUCCGCAAUCCUGCGGCGAGCGGCAUGGGAUAAUGCGGCCAUGGUGCGCCGAGACCGCUUGCGCAGGAUGAGGGAGUGGUGGGUCCAAGUGGGGCUCCUGGCUGUGCCCCUGCUGGCUGCGUACCUGCACAUCCCGCCCCCUCAGCUCUCCCCCGCUCUGCACUCAUGGAAGACUUCCGGCAAGUUUUUCACCUACAAGGGACUUCGCAUCUUCUACCAAGACUCCGUUGGUGUGGUUGGAAGCCCUGAGAUAGUUGUGCUUUUACAUGGCUUUCCAACAUCCAGCUAUGAUUGGUACAAGAUCUGGGAAGGUCUGACCCUGAGGUUUCAUCGAGUGAUUGCCCUGGAUUUCUUAGGCUUUGGCUUCAGUGACAAACCGCGACCACAUCAAUAUUCCAUAUUUGAGCAAGCCAGCAUUGUGGAAUCCCUCCUUCGGCACCUGGGACUCCAAAACCGCAGAAUCAACCUGUUGUCUCAUGACUAUGGAGAUAUUGUUGCUCAGGAGCUGUUGUACAGGUACAAGCAGAAUCGAUCUGGCCGGCUUACCAUAAAGAGUCUCUGUCUGUCAAAUGGAGGUAUCUUUCCUGAGACCCACCGUCCUCUCCUUCUUCAAAAGCUCCUCAAAGAUGGAGGCGUGCUUUCACCUAUCCUCACAAGGCUCAUGAACUUCUUCGUGUUCUCUCGAGGUCUGACUCCAGUCUUCGGACCGUACACUCGACCCUCUGAGAGUGAGCUAUGGGACAUGUGGGCUGGAAUCCGCAACAAUGAUGGGAACUUGGUCAUCGACAGUCUUUUACAGUAUAUCAAUCAAAGAAAGAAAUUCAGAAGACGCUGGGUGGGAGCACUUGCUUCUGUGACCAUCCCUAUUCAUUUUAUCUAUGGGCCAUUGGAUCCUAUAAAUCCCUAUCCAGAGUUUCUGGAGCUGUACAGUGAGCUGCAGAGUGAGCCACCUGUUGAUGCUUCUCUAAGGAGCUGAAAGUCAUGUUUUGAGGACUGUUACAGAAGUGUUGUAUUUGCAAGAUGUUGUCUGUUGUGUUCUGAACAAUUGAAACCAGUCUAAGUGGAACUGGCAAGUUUAUCUGGCUAAGGAAAACGCUGCCGCGGUCCACAGUGUCGAUUCUGGAUGACCACAUUAGCCACUACCCACAGCUAGAGGAUCCCAUGGGCUUCUUGAAUGCAUAUAUGGGCUUCAUCAACUCCUUCUGAGCUGUAAAGAGUAGCUUCCCUGUAUUAAUUACCUCCCCCAUUCUCGUAUUUGUGUGUAUUCCACUUAGAAAUGCCCCAAAGAGGUCCUGGCAAUCAAAUACUAUUCUUUCAUAAAAGUCCAUUUGAUUCACAUUGGUCAGCAAACUAUAGAAAACAGGCAGCAGAAACUCUAAGGAUGGCAUGCUAAUCCAUCUCUCAUUCUCUUAUGGGUGACAAGAUACUCCUCCCCUCAUUUCUGUGACAUCUGACCAAGUGUAUGGAUCUUCUUUUUAUUGUUAUUAUAAAAUUCUGAUGAAUAACACUUCUCAAUUAUGUAGAAAGACAGCAUUGGACAUUGUUUUUCGUAAAAUACUUAAAAAAAAAAAAACCCUAACUUGUGUGGACUUUGCUGAAAUCCUCAGAAAUGCUAACUUGUGGCCCAACCAUAAUUGGAGUCCUGUAGUAAAGAGGGAGGGAGGAGCUUGCUUAUCUCCCGUUCAAGCUCUCUAUACAGCACAGCUUAUGAGAAGGACUAUCUUGUCAUGCCUUACAUUUAGUUUCAUCAGCUGCUUCUAAUUAUAGACAUUUUGUUGAAAUACACAUUGGCUUAGGGGGCUGGAGAUGUAGCUCAGUGGUAGUGUGCCUGCUUAGCAAGCUAAAGCCCUUGGGUUCAAUCCCCAGAACUGCACCCCCCCCCCCAAAAAAAAACCCCUUACCAAACCAACAAUGUUCUGAAUAUGCUUUUGAGACUUAUUAGCAUACUCAUGUAUGUAUUUUCUAAGGGUAUUAAGAUGUUGGCCCUUACUUGCUAGAGUAGAGAACCUCAUCACACAUAUAAUUUGUGAAUAAAAAGAUUCAAAUUAUUUACAGAAUUUCCUAAAACCACGAGGUAUUAACCAGUUGUAUCUGUGCCAGAGCUUUAUUGUCACUGGCUAGAAAGUCCAUGCUGAACAGUAAAUAACAGCCUUCCUCCUCGCAACAGUACUUAGGUGCAUGUUCCUCCAGUUUGAAGUGGAGGCGAGGGGCCCAUGUAACAGCCAAAUGCCCACUGACUCCUCUUAGGAUGGCUGCUUAGCACCCACCCUACUAGCUGUUCAGCAAGGCUUUCUCACGUAACUCAGCAACUCCCGUACUGAGAUGUAAGAACAAAUGCUGAAAGAGCAAUGGUGCUGAAAACUUUUUUAAGCCACAGUUUUAACUUAGUUAAAGCAGCAUUAUUGAUUAUUUUAAAUUCAUUUUUUAAAUUAGAAAUUUCAAGUAUAGCAACUUUGAAACUGGAAUGAAUGAGUGUUUAUUUUCUAUUAAUAAAAACAAACUGUGACAAAAAUGGA